rnacentral:lncRNA from 1 species
AAAAAGAAUACUGUGCCUAUUUAGACCAGUUAUAACAGGAAGGUGUAUUAAGUGUAAAUAUCAAGGAACCACAACUGUUUGUGCAUAGGUUCUAGAAAACACAAUUUUUGGGGAAACCAAAUCACUUAACUGCAACAAUUGGGGCGGAGACCUCGAGCUAGCUAUUCUGGCGCAGGGGUUGCACCGCUGCUUCAUCUCGUCCUUACAGAACUACUCCACUCAGGCAACUAAAAACCCAUAACGCACAUACUUGGUCUUUCUUCUACUUCAAGCACCUCUACUUUGAGCACGUUGCUUAGUCCAAGGCAAGUUCUUUGUCCAAUUUUCUGCUUACAAAUCCUGUCUAAUAUUUUAAACCAUUACACUGUUAUGUGCAUGUGGGGGAGAGGAUGUUAUUGGAUCUGAGGAGCAGCAAGUUUACAGGGGUGGAUGUCUGCAGUGGAGCUCCUAUUUGAGCCUGAUGCACUAUUCUCUGGUGGUUAUAUUCUGGUUUGCAUCAUGUUCAGGUGAUAUGCAUCUCCUUUAUUCUGUACUGCACUGUUGUUUUGUCUGGUUCAAUUUGAAGCUUGUUCGUCCCAAUAAAUUUCUAGAGAGUUCAUUAGCCUUGAUAUGCCCGGUCCGGCUACCGCAUGGGACAACUAGCUGGCCCAUCUGUUCGAGCAAAGGACAACUAGCUGGCCAAGCGGUCAGUAUUGGUGCAAUUUUCUGAUGGCCCGCUGCUUGCACGCAUCGCUCUGCAGGCCCUCAUGACGUCAAAUAAAACAAACAAAAAACGCAUCGCUCAGGCUAAAAGAAAAACAAAUGGAGCAAUUACUUCACUUUAUUUAUUAGAGUUAAAAAAUGUCCAUGAAACAAAAUUGAAUACUAUUUAUAGAUUAACUUAUGUAUAAACAAAUAAUCCUACAGUAGUAAGUAUAUAAACGGAUAAUCCUACAAUAGGGAGAACUGGACUGAAAAUUAUUGUAAUAUCUUAUAAUAGAAAAAAGGUUUAUGUUAGCUGUUAGAGUUACACAGGACCGUUACAUAAUUUAGAUUUCAAAUGCUACUGAUGGGAAAUAGUUGAACUGGUAGUGUUUUGCAUAUCUGAGCCAUAUACAUUGUCCAGAAGAUAUAGGACAGCAAGUCCGAACUAUAAGUGAGCUGCAGGCAUCGUCUCCUAUUUUUGUGUAGUUUCCGUACUUCCUUUAAUCUUUGCAAAGACAAGCAUGAGUGAUAUCCGUGUGCUGAUUUCUAAAACCGGCACUCGUGUGAAGGUGAAUAUCUUCGAAAAGAAGAAUGACCCAGGGAGGAUAAAGUGACAUGGAUGACUGAUGGAAGAAAAAGAGCCGACAGUGUUAGAAGAAAUAAUGAGGUGAUAAGUCUCUAAAUGUUCUUUAUCUCACGGAAGUUAUUAAUGUGCUAUGUAGCCAAAAGGUUAACAAAUAUAUAUGUGCAUGUACUCUAGGUUGGCCAUUUGAAACAUGUUAUUAGUCGGUAAUAAUUAUAGUUAAUUGUUUAUUAAUAAAUUUCAUUGCUUCAGUGUACUCUUUUUGAUGAACUCUGAUAGCGAUUAUUGCCUCUAGGACUUCAGAAUUUUGACAGGAGCAAUGUUGGAUCUGCUGUCACAGAUGUACAGUGUGGUACAUUUUUUUAUGCUCUAUUACUGUUUAGCUCUUCCACAUAUGUGAAAUAAUGUUUAAGUUCUGAUUUUGUUUGAUGGACGACAAGUGAAUGACCUAAAUCAAACAAUCAUGGACAUGGGUUUCUUGAAACAUAUCUGAAUUUUAGUUCUGAGUUCUUCGCAUGUUACACACUUAGGGAAGUAGAAGAAAAUUUGGUUAUAUCAUGUGUUAGGGGAUGUUCUAUGUGCAGCUAGCUAUUCCUAAAUUGGUCCAAGACUUCAUUUUCUUCAAGCAUGAAUAAGAACAAACAAUUAAAAUGGCGAGUGGAGAGACUGAUGAUGUGUUGCUGCUGAUGCUACUCCUUUUCUUGUCCUCUGCUUUGUUGACCCUCCUCUGCACGCUAUGCUGAUGGUGGUGGUGCUGCUGCCGAGCUGCCCCUCCUCUUCUCUUAAGAGUCAUUCUUGUUCUUUUUCUGAUAGAUAGAAGAACUAGAUUGUGCCUUUAUUGCAUAUUUAUAUUUAGCAAGAGACUAUUUAGCAUGCAGAUGCACUUUGGACUAACCUCAAACUUCACUUCACUUUUUUCAGCUUAGCAUUAUAAACAAGGCCUUGAACACAUCUCUUGAAGGUUUGACAAGAUCUUGAAGGUGUUGGAGGUUUGGCAAGAUCUGCAAGGCAUCCAUACUUUUUUUUUUGCUCAUUUUGGUGGUUAUUUUAGCACACAAGCCGAUGUAUGCUCAUUUUGGCUUUGUAGCACAUCUAGAAACAUGUCUUUUUUUUCCUUUUGUGGCACAACAUCCUUAAUGUAUCAAGAAACAUGUAUUUGGUCGCUUAUCAAAUGAAGCUUGAGGUUUUGGAUGUGGCUUAUACGUAACUUUGAUUGAGAAGUGGUAUGUAUAAAUUAGGGAUAAGCUGGG